rnacentral:rRNA from 1 species
UACAGAGGGUGCAAGCGUUGUUCGGAAUUAUUGGGCGUAAAGCGCGUGUAGGCGGCUUUGCAAGUCGGGUGUGAAAUCCCUCGGCUCAACCGAGGAACUGCAUCCGAUACUGGCGGGCUUGAAUCCGGGAGAGGGAUGUGGAAUUCCAGGUGUAGCGGUGAAAAUGCGUAGAUAUCUGGAGGAACACCGGUGGCGAAGGCGGCAUCCUGGACCAACACUGACGCUGAUGAGCGAAAGCCAGGGGGAGCAAACGGG